UGGGGAAUAUUGCACAAUGGACGGAAGUUUGAUGCAGCGACGCCGCGUGGAGGGUGUAGGCCUUCGGGUUGUGAACUCCUUUUUCUCGCGAAAAAGGCACAGUUUUGGCUGUGUUGAUGGUAGUGGGGGAAGAAGCGCCGGCUAACUACGUGCCAGCAGCCGCGGUAAUACGUAGGGCGCGAGCGGUGUCCGGAGUUAUUGGGCGCAACGAGCUAGUAGGUGGUUCGUCGCGUCGGUCGUGAAAGCCAGCAGGUUAUCUGUUGGUCUGCGGUGGGUACGGGCGGGCUUGAGUGCGGUAGGGGUGACUGGAAUUCCUGGUGUAGCGGUAGAUUGCGCAGAUUUCAGGCGGAACACCGAUGGCGAAGGCACGUCACUGGGCCGUUACUGACCCUGAGGAGCGAAAGCGUGGGGAGCGAACAGG
rnacentral:rRNA from 1 species